UCUAACAUUCUUAUAAAAAUAUAAAAUCUUAUCAAAGUACACCUGAUUUACAUUAAAUAUAAUUUCUUGAAAAAUGAUAUAUGCAAUAAAAUAAAACACAAUAUUAUUUGCGCUAUUUAAUUAAUUGCACAAAUAAGGUAUGAUUUCUUAUAUUAAGCAGUCCACCAUUCUUUAAUGGCACUAAAUUAUUAUUAUAAGCAUCCAUAUCUAUAAUACAUGGAAGGUUAAUGGAAUAUAUAAUAUGAAAUAACUCUCUCGAUUGAAUACCUACCAAUUAAAAUUUAUUUAGCAUAAAUGUGGUAAUGACAUUCAUACCAUAUUAAAUUUAUCUUUUCAAUUUAAUCAAAGAUAUAUAAUCUAUAUCAAGAUUAAAAAUUCAUAAAUGAAAAAAAAAAUAAUUUAUGAUUUCAAGAAUUAAAUCAAUUAAGUAAGAAGCAGAACCACUUCACUUGUAAUAAAGUUAGCUCUUAAAAAAAUUUUAUAGAAUAGAUAAAAAUAAAAAUGCACUAAUAAUAUUGAUGGGUAAGUAUAAAAAACUUGUGUUUAAUUAUAAUUACAACUAUAUUUAAAUUAAAACUUCAUAUUUUUUUUAUUUUUUUUUAUUUUUGCAAAUAAAACUCUUUAAAAAGCAACGUAAUAAUACAUUUCCAUAUUUGGGGGAAGAUUUUGGAAGUAAUAUUUGAAAUUAAUUUCUUAGCCAUUUUGGUUUCCUUAGAGCAUCUCCAAUGCUAAAUUGUGGCUGAUGUGUCACGUAGAAUAUAAAGUGUGAAUAUCUAUCAAUUUUAAAAAUUUCUCCAAUAAAUUAGUUUUGAGUCCUCUUCAAUCCUCUGUUUUAUUUUUAUUUUUUAUAUAUUCUUAUAAUUCAAUAUGUAACCAAUCACUAUACAACAAUAAAUAUGUAUAUUGUUUAAGAUCCUCUAGAAAUAAAAUGUGUGAUAGACAAUGUCCUUUUUUUUUUUUUGACACCUCAGCUCUACAUACCAAGUAGACAUUAGCAUUGGAGAUAUUUUUUAAUAUCAAGAUUAAAAAUUCAUAAAUGAGAAAAAAAAAAUAUUUAUGAUUUUAAGAAUUAAAUGAAUUAAGUAAGAUGGAAACCACUUCACUUAUAAUAGAGCUAACUCUUAGAAUAAUUUUAUACAAUAGAUACAAAUGAAAAUACACUAAUAAUAUUAAUCGGUAAAUAUAAAAACCUUGUGUUUAAUUAUCAUUUACAGCCGUAUUUAGAUUAAAACUUUUUUUUUUUUUUGGGAAAUAAAACUCUUUAAAAAGCAACAUAAUAAUAUAUACAACUUCUCCAUAUUUUGGGGGAAGAUUUUGAAAAUAAUAUUUGAAAUUAAUUUCUUAGCCAAUUUUGGUUUCUUGCACUUUAACCUUAGAGCAUCUCCAAUGCUAAUGAGCUAAUGUGUCAUGUGAAAUAGAGGAUGUAAAUAGUGACGUCGAUGAACGUCUACUUAUAGAUGCUCAAUUUUAAAAAAUCUUUCUCUAAUGCACUAGUUUUGAAUCCUCUUCCAUAUUCUUUUUUCUCUUCUUUUCUAGGCUCUUAAUUUAAUACGCAACUAAUCACUAUAGAGCAAUAAAUAUUCUCAUUGUCUAACAGACCCUUUAGAAAUAGAAGGUUUGAUAGAUAAUAUCUAUUUAUUUAUUUUUUGAUAACUUAGCUUGGCAUACCAAAUAGACAUUGGAGAAUAUUUUUAAAAAUAUAUUUUUAUUUUUUCUGAUGUGACAAUUAAAUUAGAGUAAUCCACGUUAGCAUUGAAGAUGCUCUUAUUGCCCUGUAUCUUACCCUUCCACUGCGCACGGGGAAUUAAAUCAUUUAAGGUCCACCAAACAAGUCACAAGAAGAACCCCUUUUCUACUAAAAUUUUCAUUUAUAAGACAUUUGAUUUUUGCUCUUUAAGACUCUGCAAAAUCCCUUUGUGUGAAUUGUGUAAGUGAAACUAUAUUGUACUAAUUUUGUUUCAAUAUCAUAAAAUAAUUUACUUAUUUCUUUUUGUUUGUUUUAAGAUUCCGAGGUGUUUGAAGAACUUUCCGAUCAUUUACUUCCGACGAUAAGCGUAUAAUAUCGGAAGAAAUCCAGCACAUACCGAGAGUCUAAAUUGACCGUUCUCGGAAAAUCUUAGGUAAUCUUUCAUCCUAAUUAUAUUUAAUGAAUAAACAUAUAUAAAUAAUAUUUGAUUACUCUGUAGUUCACUCGAAAUUCAUCAUUCAGAUCUUUAAUAAUGGACGGAAUAUGUCUGUGACCACUGUUAAAAUCGCCGAUCUUCAAAGUCUGCCAAAAAAAAAAAAGUUAAACCUUUGUUGUUUUUAUUGAAAAUUAAAAAAAUCCUCAAAUUUCCUCAUGCAUCAAUUUAUAAUUUUUUAUUUUUUAGUUUUUUGAACCUUUUUCGAAAAUUAUAUUUUCACUUCUUUUAAAAAAACCCUCCAAUGUUUUCAUAACCUAAAGGAUCUUCCUAAAAUCCAUAAACCAAAUUUGAAAAUAGUUACUUGAUUACUUUCAAAUGGAUUUUCCUUUUUUUUCUUAUUUACCAUGAAAUUUUGUGGUCUUGUCUUUUUAUCACGAAUGAAUAAAAGACCCAUGCAUGUUGUAUAUUUCUCAUAGUUUGUGUGUGUGUAUAUAUAUAUAUAUAUAAUUUUUAUUUUUUUCACUCUUACAUCAAACUGUUUUAUUUAAAUUAGGGAUGACAAUGGAUCGGAUGUAGGGCAGACUUUUUAAAUUUUGCACCCGAUCUAUGUCAAAAUAAGUCGAAUUUAUGUGGUAAAUUGAGUUUAGAUCGGAAUUUAUUAAAAAUAAACAAUGAAUGCUCAAAUUUUUAAAAAUAAAAAAUUAAACGAGAUGAUUUUUAUAAUAUAAGUCAAGUUUUUAUUUUUUAAAAAAUACAUUAGUACUACCUUUUAUAUGUUAUCCGUCUCAUUAAAAUUAAUCUCAAAUGAGCAUCAAAUGAAACAAUUACAAUUGUCAUUCUUAAUUUUAACUCAUUAGCAACAAUAGUAAAAGACGAUCAAUCAAUAGAGUCAUCACUAUUUUAUAAAAAUUUAAUUACGAAAUCAAUUAACUCAAUUUGAUUCAAAAUACAAAAAAUACAUAAAUUUUACUUUAAAUUAAAAAUACUUGUAUUAAAUUUCAUAAUAAUUGUUUUAAGUUAUUUUAAUAUUAUUUAAAAGUAAUUUUUGAAAGAUUAUGAUGUCUUAUAUUUUUACUUUUUUAGAUGGCAAUAAAGAAUGUCAUAUAAAAGUUAAAAUCGAACAUACUAAUUAGAUAUGAAUUUUUCUAAUUAUAAAAACAUUUUUUUUUCAACCAAAUAAAUUUUAAUUUUUGCAUAUUUAUAUUUUAUCUCAUGUUCUGUGUCCGUAUUCAUACAACUUAGCCUAAAACAGGGGUAAGUUGACCUUGGGAGUUCGGAUAAAAUAUAAGUGGAAAAGCCCAUUUUGUCCACUGUAUUGGGCCAAGCAGUUCUUAAAAAGUCAAAUCAAAACUGCUUUUAUACUGUCAAUUUCAGCUGCAGCCUGCAGCUGCCAUAUGGCCCAUGAAUGGGUGGGCCAAUUGAGGCUAAAAGCAAGCCCAAACAUAAAUAAAUUCAUUUUUUCUUAUAAAUAAAUUUCAAAUUUUGAAUUGAUUAAACUAAUCAACUUGGGGAUUAGACUUGCCUGAAUCCUCUAUGGUCCAUCUAUACACAGAAUCAAUAAAAAUAAAAAAUUUUUAAAAAUUAUUUUUGUUUUAUCCCUUUAUAUAAAUCAUUUUUCAUAGGUUUAUUAGUCAUAAGUUUAGUAUUUGUUUUAUCACAAAAUCAAAACUUAAACUGUUAAUUGAAAAAUGACAUAAAAUGUUAGGUUCUUGUGAUGUGAUAACCAAAUUGUUAAUAAUAAUUAGGGGUGAGUAAUUCUCAAUUUCUAACCAAGAAUCGAAUUAAACCGAUUAAAUUGGUUUGGAUCGAUUAUUAUGUAAUUCAAUUUCAGAUUUGGAUUCCAUAAAAAUAUAUUUGGAUAAACAUCGUUUGGUUAACCAAAUGCUGACCUCUAAAAUUAACAGUAAGUGAUUUUUGUCCACCAUUGUUGUGUUUGAUGGUAAACAAACUCAAAAUACAUUUAAUGUGUAUCAUGUGAGUAUAUCAGUAAUUUAGUCUGUGAUUUUCAUAUUCAUAUUAAUUACACAGAUGAACGCUUCAAAUUUAUUAACAUAAGCAUUGAAGAGUGUUAUACAAUGAAUUCUAAAAUAUUGUUUUGCUUGUUUAUUCAAUUUUUAGCUUAGAAUUUAGAAACUUUUAAACAUUGUUGACUCAUUUUCAGUUUCUAAUUUAGAAUAUAAAGGUGGUAGUUCUUCAUUACUAGUGGAAUUUUCUAUCUUAAAAAUGUUUCACUACCUCAUAUUAAAUCUAAAAGUUUCAGAAAAUAAAUGAGAAAUGAAGUAAAAACAGAUAAAAAAUAGCAUAGAAAUACAAAAUCGAGAAGAUGAGAAAACAAAUAGAAAAUCAAAAUGGAAUGAAAUCAAAGUGAUGAUUUUGUGUUUUACACAUUUGCUUUGUUUGUGCUUUACUGAGGAACUAGCUUCUGUUAUCCUGUUGCUAAUUACUCAAAUUUUCCAUUGUAUUUCUUCUGUUUCAGAUAUUCAAUUUCUUGCAUACAAAAAAAAGAAAAAAAAAAAAAUCUCAAACUUUGAAGAAUGGCCUAUGAUCUAAGGGAAAGAAAGCAAAAGAGCGUGAUUGUCAGCUAUGAAAGUGAAGAAGAAGAAGAUAACAAUGACUCUUCUGUCUCAGAUCCUGAUUAUACAAGAACUAGACGUCCAAGAAACAAGAAUUAUUGCAAAUCAAUCCAAAAAUUGCAAAUAAAUCCAUCUGAGCUCAAGUUUCCAUAUGAUCUAAGGGAAAGAAAGCAAAAGAGCGUGAUUGUCAGCUAUGAAAGUGAAGAAGAAGAAGAUAACAAUGACUCUUCUGUCUCAGAUCCUGAUUAUACAAGAACUAGACGUCCAAGAAACAAGAAUUAUUGCAAAUCAAUCCAAAAAUUGCAAAUAAAUCCAUCUGAGCUCAAGUUUCCAGGCAUAAAUGGAACUAUUUUUGCAAUAAGAUCGAGGGGUCGCCCUCCAAAGAAAAGAUCCAUUAGAAGUUUAGAGGAACCAAAUAAAAGGAGAAGGUCAGGUUCUUUUUCAAAUCAAGAACUUGGUUCUUCUAAUAGACAAACAGUACAAGCACUUGGUGCUUCUAGUGGACAAACAGUACUAACACUUGGUGCUUCUAGUAGACAAACAGUACUAGCACUCGGUGCAUCUAGUAGACAAACAAGAAUAGCACUCGGUUCUUCUAGUAGACAAACAAGAGUAGCACUUGGUUCUUCUAGUAGACAAACAAGAAUAGCAGAGAAAACUAUAUUAUCAUGGUUAAUAAACCACGGGGGCGUCUCGGAAAAUGAUAGAGUUCAAUAUAUUGACAGAAGGAUCCUAAAGGAAGGGAUGGUAAGAAGAGAUGGUAUUUGGUGCAGAUGUUGCAAUGUAGUUAUGAGUAUCUGGGAUUUUGAAAUGCAUGCAGGAAACUAUUCAAGUAGGCCAUAUAAGAAUACAUAUGUUUUUCGCACAGGCAAGCCUCUUGUAAACCUCCUUAAUGAGAUGUGGCAUAAAAAGGAAGAUGAACGACAUUUAUUUAAUGUAGUUGUGCCACAAAUUGGCGCAACUGAUGCUAAUGAUGAUGCUUGUCUGCUAUGUGCUGAUGGAGGUGAUCUCAUAUGCUGUGAGAAAUGCCCCUCCGCAUUCCACCCAACCUGCAUUAAUAUGGAGGUAAUUACAGUUUCUUUUUGGGGUAUACAUGCAAAAUUUCUUUUUUGAUUUUAAGUUCUUGGAAUUUUGAUUGCAGAACAUACCUCAAGAAGAUUUUUUAUGCACUUACUGUGUCUGCAAACAUUGUGGUGGCAUCAAUGGAGAUAUGCUUACAUGUUCUAUGUGUGGCAAGAGAUGUGAGUAUUGCUUUUUCCAUUUUUCUUUUAUAAAUUUUGUUGUUUAAGAAGAAAAUUCUUGCAGCCAUUUGAUGGAGGUUGUGAUCUUGUUUGUCGUAGAUCACUGGGAUUGUUAUGUUGAUAGAGAGAAUGUGGAUCUUAACGAUACUGAGCUUGCCUUAUGUUGUGGACCUAUCUGCAAAGAGGUAUUUCUUUUUUCACUAUUUAUUGUUCUAUUGUGCUUGAAAAUGUGACCUGAACUUGAGUUUUCUUAAGGUUUAUUGGAAGUUUAAGAGGAUGCUUGGAGUUAGACACGCGAUGAAAGAGGGAUUAACAUGGACAUUGGUACAUCGAAUGAAACCAUUUGAAAUUGAGGAUGAGCAAACAAGAAUAAUAAGUAACUGUAAGACUGAGGUGGCAUGGGAUUUUCUGAAUGAAUGUUUCAGCACUGCUACAGAUCGCCAUAGCAGGAUAAACAUCUUGCAAAGUGUGGUUUGUAAUAGAGAGUAAGCAUUUUCAAAUCUUCUCUUUAAAACCUCUGUAACAGAAUUAACAGAAUACCUUUAUGUCAUUUCUAACUGAAAAUGGCAAGAACUUGAUCAGAAGUUGUUUAUCCAAAAAAUGGCACAAAAAGAAGGGGAAGAAAGCUUAUUUGAUCAAUUAAAUACUAAUCAUUCGUCUCUUUCCAGAUCAAAUUUGACAAGAAUGAAUUUUAGAGGCUUCUUUGUUGCUUUGCUGGAGAAUAAUGAUGGUAUCGUUUCAGCUGCAACUGUAAGGUAUCUUCUACACUACAUAUAUGUUUAUAUGUGUAUGAACCUCUUUAUGCAUAUUCAGCUUUCGCAGCAAAAUGAAUGUAUAACUUCAUGCUUCUGCAGAAUGCAUGGGAAAGAUUUGGCUGAGAUGCCUUACAUCGCAACUCAAGAGAACUACAGGGGUCAAGGGAUGGCAAGAAAGCUAUUUGAUGCACUUGGAUAUGUAAGUUGUCCACUUAAAUGUUCUUCUUGUUCAUACUGUAAAGAUGAAUUUCUCUCUAGAAAAUAAUUUCUUAAACGAACAUAUAUACUGAUGCUGAUUUAACUUAUAGGUCUUUUCUUGCAUUGGGCUCAAAGAGAUGGUUAUACCAUCCAUCGAUCACCUUGCACCCAUGUGGCAGGGGAAAUAUGGGUUUACCCCCAUUGAUGAUGUGGUGAAGCAUAAGCUUGUCAACUUCAACACUCUAAUGUUUCCAGGUACGAUCAGGCUGCAAAAGAUCUUUCCGGAUGCACCUGCUAGUUUCUCUGCAGCUGCUGGUUGCUCUGCAGCUGCUAGUACCUCUGCAGCUAUGGACAAUAAGAAUGAUAAGAACUGCAAAGAGCUGGCCCUUUUGAAUUUGAAUCUUGAUCCUCCUGAACCUCCAGAGGAUGAGAAAGUAAGACCAGUGAUAUGGAUUGAUGAUUAGAAGAAUAUGCCAUUAGAAGUACCGUUUUUGGCGAAUUUGGUUAAACAUUAGUUCAUGCAUGAAGGUUAAUUUACUAUAAUUUGAUGUUCAACUCGGAACUUUUCAUUUGCUGUCGUUUUUAUAUUUUAAUAAGCUGGAAACUUUGAUAUCCCCCGGCAUUUUAAAGGAUGGUAAGCGGAAAGAUACUCUGCUUAUCCAAUAUUUAUGUCUGUUAUUUUGUUGUUUGUUCUGUUCUGGUCUUGUCAGACUUUAAGGCAGUAUUGCUACAUUUAAAUGAACUCAUUCGUUGAGAAAAAUGUUUGAAAGCUCUUAGUUUGGUCUUACAAUUUUAUUUUUUCUCCUAGAUUUAACAUAUUUCUGAAUAUUUUCUUCUUGCUAUGAACAUAUAUAAGUAUAACUUCAGAUGCAAUUUAUAUAGCAUCUGAAGCCACAUAAUAGGGUUUUGUUAGAUGAGUUAUAUAAAAGUAGGGCUACAGAUGACCCGUUCCAACUCAAUCCACUUCACUUCAAUUGGUGGAUUUGAAAAUAUAAUGAGUUGGGUUGAAUAUGUCAAUGUUAUAAUUUAUGGGUUGGAUUGGAUCAUGGGUUCACUGAAUAAAUCCACAAACUUAUCAAAAUAUUGUAUAUGUAUUUGUAUGCGAGUAUAAUUAUGAAUUCUUUUAGUUAAUUCAAUUUAGUUUAUAAUUUUGCCUUUAAAAUUGUUUUCUUUAGCAUAAAUUUACUUUGAAAUGUUGCUAAUGAAACAUAUUGUAGUUUGAAAAUUUCUUGUAUAAUUAUGCUACUAAGUUUUUUUUUUCUUUAAUUUUAUUGGUUAUAUUUCUUAUUAGAAAAUUUAAUUUUCAAAUAUCGUCGCUUAUUAUUAUUAUUAUUAUUAUAAAAAAUAUUUUAAACUGUUAAAAUUGUAAUAUCUUGUGGUUUACAAAAAUUAUUGUAUAAUUAUAUUAUAAAUAUAUAUAAUUUUGUUGGUUAUUCCUUUUCAAUAGUUAAAUUUUAAAUUUUUUUAUUUAAAAUUAUUUUUUUAUUUAUCAUUUAUUUUGACCCGUGAAUUUACGUAAAAUUCAUAUUCAACUCAACUCACUCAUGACUGCAUGACCCGUGAAUUUACGCUGGACUCAUACCCAAUUCAACUCACUCAUAACUGCAUGUUCACGUGGUUGAUGGGUUGGGUAGAGUAAACCUCGAACAUACGGUUUGAGCACUUUAAAUCGACAAAUCCAACCCAACCUAACCCACAUGCAGCCGUAUAUAUAAGUUCCUAUAAAAAGGGAAAAGAAUUUGCUAAAACUAUUACUGACAAGUAAAAGAAAGCACUGUAAAAUAGGCUUAUGUUUAUAUACCUUGUAUUGAAGUAAAAUUAAGCAUAUAUGAGCUGGUCCUCAAUGAAGCAGACUCCAUUACAGAUCAUUUGACACCUACUGGUUUCUAAAAAUGCAUUCUAAUACCUAUUGAAAUGUUUAUCGACUAAAUAAAACUUUAAGAAAUUCUGAACCGAACACCCUAGCAAGUCAGCACCAAGCAAAAUGCACAGCAGCAAAAUGGAAACUAUGAUUCUGAGGCAAUCGCAUUAAGAUUUUUUGGAAACAUUCUGAUUUGAUAUCUUGGGCCUUCCAUUUCUUUGAAGCAGAUACGUUGGGAGAAAAUUAGGAAUGAUGAGUGCCCAUCCCAAACAGAGCAAAACCAAGAUUGCUACCCACCAAGCCUUGUGUGGGAUGCCCAAUAACAACUCAUCACAGACUGUGAUGGAAAUAAAAAUAAUUAGAAUAUAAAGCAGGAAAAAAAUUUCAAUGAUGAAAUCAAAAUUACAUUUUAUUCACGUGACAAUGGACAGUCGAAUUAAAGGAUGAAAGAAAAAUGUCACCCUGAAAUGCUAAUCUGAUUCUCAUGAGAUAAGACAAAUGAAGAGAGAAAAGUGGACAAUUAAAGCACAGUAAACAAAAUUAUCAAAAAAAAUAAAAAAAAAACUAAACUAGUGAUUUCAUAACAAAGUAAACGCAGUAACUUCACUCUUAUUCAGCUCAAUUUCAGGCCCUUAGUAUCCCUAACCAAGUGAGAUUAAAUUGUGAACCUGCUUUACCACACCAAUCAAUCAUAUGAAUAAAUCAAACACAACAGCAGUGAAGUCAGUGCUGAGUAGGCUGGACAAGAACAUUAUGCAAACCAAAAAAGUUCAAAAUGAACAGACAAAGUAAUGUUCAAGUAAGAUGAUUAAGCAGUGGAUGAUCACUUCGUUUGACACAGUUGUUGCCUCAAACUAGCAAGCAAGAAGUCAACUGGCAGCAGGUGUUGCAUAUGAAGAUUUAGAAAUGUUAGGAUCAUAAAAUGGAGUCCGAUUAUCUUGCAAUUAAGAGCAGGUUGGCUUUAACAAAUGUGAAAGUGAUAAUAGAUUAUAAUUCCAAAACUUGAUAACCUGAAUAUUGUUUGAAUAAAUUACCUAUGUUGAAUAAGAUGAACUGCCUCUCCGGUACAUGUGGUAUUGCAACAACCCCCUCAGGCUCCACAGUGACCAACACAUACGAUUUAUUCUAAGCGGAGGAAAAAAUAAAAAUUAUAACCUGCCUAUAUAACAUGAUCAAAUGCAUUAUGCAUCCAAAUAUUUAGUAGCACAAUGAAACCUGAUUACUAGUGAGACUGUCAGUCUUGAAAAUCAAUUUCUCAGUGUUAAGUAAUCUUCUAUUCCGAUCUAUCCCCAUAUCAGCGUCCUCUUUCUUUAGUUUUAUAGAGAAGCUAGCAGGUAUCUGUUAAUUAACAAAUGUGUGAUAAUUAAGCUUCACAAUCAAAACAAUGCAAAAGGCAACUAUGGGGAUCCAAAAUUACAUACAUACAGAAGCUGGAUAUGAUAUCUUCACUUCGUACCAAGUAUAUGAUUUGAGCCCUUGCAAUUGGUAAAUGCGAGAACCCAUUUGUAAUGGAAGAGUUUCCUUCCACAGUUCCUUCCCAACAGUCAAAACUUUAUCCUCAACCCUGUAACACCAUGAAUGGAUUACACUUCCAAGUUAAAAAAUCUUAGUAUUCCUACUCUUUCAUUUCGUUUGAAGUAUACUGACAUGUCCCCAUAACCGAAACUCGAGAUACAUAAAAUGAAACUGAAAAUACAGUGCAGAAUGAACAAAUGACAAAGCAUGGCAGCCCAAAAAACUGAAAUCUUUAUCUUCAACUUCUUGAACCUGAUACACCACCACCGCGAAUUUUAGUAAAUUACUUUUUCCCAAAUGGCAACAUCAAAAUGAAUAAAAGAGAAGUAAUUAAAAUAGAACAGAAAUAACGAAUUCACUACGAAAACUCUGUAUAAGCAUAAAAAACAAUAGUAACUAACAUCCUAGCAGAAUUUUGGGAGAAAUGAUAAUUAUUGGCCUCCUAGCUAUAAGCAAAUAAAUCAUAUAAAACAAAACUCAAUUGAAAGAUCUAGUAAGUAAUUCCAUUGAUAUGUAUCUAAUAUCAACCAAUUAGUUAUCCAGAAAACAAAAAGCAUAAAAAGAAGCUAUAUUCAUUUCUAAGCACAUAGCCACAAGCAUAACAGAACCAAAGUCCAACAAUUUUGUAAUGAAAUGAUGGAUUAGCAGCAGUAAUGAUUCAAUACUCCUUGAUAAUUCUAGCCCAGGACAGAUCCUUGGCGCCAACUUCAAUACUGAAUGCAAAGCCUUCAAAUUUUCACAUUAAAAUGGAAAAGAGAAGUCAUUCCAGAGGCAGCCACAAAGAGCAAUGCCUCGUUAGCACUUUUCCUUCGUGUUCCGGCAGCCAAAACAAAAGCCUCAAUCGUGUAAUAGAGAAAUUUUAAUACUUACCUAGAAAGUAAAUUUGAGAGCGUCCAGCAGAAUUGCAGCGGAAGAGGUGGUGUUUGGGCUAUGAGAAAAUAAAGGGAGUGGGGAAGGAAAUAAUUAGCAUGAGAUUAGAUGGGUACGACGGCGUAUCACGGUCUUCAAUAUUUUUUUAUUUUUAACCUUAUUUCAUUUUAAAAUACAUUUUUUUAAAAAACUCAAGAAGCCGCCAUGGGUCAGGUUCACGGAUCUUUGGCUCGUUGCUGGUAAGGUGAGAGGCCAAACACCCAAAGUGGCAAAGAAGGAGGAGGAGAAGAAGAAGCCACGUGGCGCGCCCACAAGAGGAUGCAAUACAACCGCCGUUUCGCCACCGCGGUUGCGGGUUUCGGCAAGAAGAGUGGACCCAACUCAUCUGAGAAGUAAGGUGUGACGGGAAAACCAGUAAUUAUGUGAUUUUGUUAAAGAAAAAACGUUUUUUAAAAGAACGGGUGAAGCGAACAAACUUUUUCGGGUAAUUAACGUACGUGGACGACGUCGUGUGUAUAAUUAGGUGGAACAAGUAAUGGAGAAUUUAUGUAGUCUUUGUUUAAUAUUUGUCGCUAAAAUAAUUUCACCUAUAUUUCUAUUAAAAUGUUAAAAUAAAAUUAUAAUUUUUAUUUAUCAAGGAGAACAAGAUAAACCCUGAAUUUUUACCAAAGUGGCGUUUGCAUACAGUAAAAAGCAAUUCUUAUAGAUACUUGACCUACCAAUAAUAUCAGAUUUUGAAUUUUUUUUUUCUUUUAAAUAUUGGGAGAGGGAAAAGUAAUUUUUUUUCUUAUAUAUACUUACUACUAAGCCUUGGUGUACUGAAUAAGUUUAUUUUAAUAUCUAUAAUUGUAUUAUUAUUUUUCUUUAAUUUAAGCGAUUGUGAUGUGCAAAGUAAUGAAAAAUAAAAAUGUUGCAUAAUUAAGAUAAUUUUAAAAAAAAUUAAUUAGUAAAUAAUUUAAUAAAAAAUUAAUAUUGAAACAAGUAUAAAAAUGAGGUGCAUUGCAAAGACAGAUGAGAAAUGUAUUAUUUCAAGGUAAAUGUUUUUUUUUUUUUUUUUUUUUUUUUUUUUUUUUUUUUUUUUUUUUUUUUUUUUAAAAGAGAAACCUAUAAAGGUAGCUGAUUUGAACAUUUUAGCGGUGAACGUGGGAGACUGGGAGUGGAGGGCCCUGUUUAGAAUGUGAUUACAACAAUGGGAAGGGAGACCCAAAUUCCCUUCCAUUGUACAGGAAAGAAUGUUAAUAUUCCAAAUAUGGCUCAGGGUUAGGAGUGGGGUUUGGGGUAAGUAAAGAAUAGGUUAAGACAAGUGAUAAUCAACUCCAUUUCAAACGUGAUGCAUGUGCUUCUCAAGACUACAUAAGUUAAUCGUCUCCUCUUUCGGUUUUUACAGGAUCAGAUCCUCCGUCUCCAUCUUGACAUCUUUCGAGGAUCAUAUUACAGUUGUUCAUUGUGGAUGCAUCAAGAAGACCGUGGUUCCAAAGCUUGAUCAUGAAUAACCUCCAGCACCUGAGUUCAAUCAAUGAAAGAAUAUAUCUAAGGUGAUGCUGAUAGAAACUCAUAAAACUAUCAUGGCAUAUUCAUAAUUUAGAACAAUGUCAUUCUACAGACAACAUAGCAGAUGCUGCAGAAGCAGCUGUUUUAUUUUGAAUUAUUUGUUUUUUGCUUUUUAAUGCAUUUACUCCUUGAUUGCAGAAGCCUAUUUUCUAAUUUCUGUGCAAGAUAUUAAAUUAAUUUGUGUAACUGAUAAGAGAAAUUGAAUAAAAGCUUGAACAGAAAACAUGGGAAAAAUUUUAUUCAGAAGCAGUACCAAAACAGAGCAGGCGACCCAACCAGCUGCCAUCCAUGAAGUUUUGAAAAUGCCUCACAUGCCCAGGGAAUGUGACCAUCUGCCAACACCCUGUCAUAUUGAAAAGUGAAACUUCUUUGCUAUGAUUUUUUUUUUUUUUUUAUCGUAGAACCCAAGCACUUGAACAGCUUUAAAAAGGAAGAAAAUUUGCUUUCAGAGUUAGUUACCUUUGCUUUCUCACAAAUGAGUUCCAAAGAUGCAUGAGUUGCUUCUCGUCUUUGCUAACAUCCACGAAGUCAUCAAGCAUCUGCAACAUGUAGUUAGAUAUUAUGCACUCUGAAUCAUUUGGUUGAAACCAUUCCCGUCUUUAGAAAUGUAUACUGUACUUCGAUGGGACAGAAAAGGGCAAAAAGGCAGACCAAAAGUUUUUCAUGCAUCUUCAGAAAUAAUCAAGCCUUCCACUUUUAGUUCCCAUAUAUUCAAUCAAGUACUCAAAUCCAACUAAACAAGUCGCAUAGUACAUUUUUGGCGUUGUCAGUGUUUGUGCUAAUCACAAAUCAUAAUAAAGUAGUUACACCACAUAUCUAAAAUUUUGAUUAUUUAAUUACUGAGACUGUCAGUCUUAGCUUACAUGCUCAUGGCUGUUAAAACACCAAAAGCAUGAGAAAUCUACUUGUUCCGCAUUACUAUAAGAAAAUAAAUACAAGGCAAAUAAUCUCUUGUUGAAGCAGAUCUAUAUAACCCAAAUAAUUACUAAACAAAUUCUGUAAAAUAUGAAAAAGCAGAAAAGUUAGUUCUACAACUCUAAUUCUAGCUUACAUGCUCAUGGCAGUUAGAACACCAAACACAUAAGCAAUCUAUUUGUUCCACGUUACUACUAGAAAAUAAAUGUAAGGCAAAUAGCCCCAGGUUGAAGCAGGUCUACAACGCCCAAUAAUUACUAAACAAAUUUCAUAAAAUAUGAAAAAGCAGAAAAAUAAUUUCUAUUACUGUGAUGAAAAAUCUCAACAAAUAAUUGAAGCAAAAUACAUAUGUACAGGCAUCAAGCAUACCCUUCUAUCUUCAAAAUCUGCAAUGUCAUCAUCAACUUCAUCUUCACUGUCUCGAUCUGACAUUACUUGUUCUAAUGCCAUAGGCUUCAAGUACAAAAAAAGGAUGUCAAUUGUUAGAUGGUCAAAGGGGAAAAAUGUGUAGUAGUAAAUGGCAAAAACUUUCUGCAAGCCACUUGAAAUAGACAAUUGGUUCUUAUGAUACAUAUUAACAAAAACUGCAUUUUGCCAUUUUUAAGCAAUAAUGGGAAUUUCUCUAGCAUAAGACCAUUCAAAUGAGAUUUCUAAGCCUUAAAAAAACAACUUGAAAGAAAAGGAAGUAGGAAAGCAUAGACAUUGUAAGUUAAGCAACCAUUCAACUUUAAAAAAGACCACAUAUCAUCUGAAUCACAUAUAUCAAUCUUAAUGAGGAGCAAUCAUCAGGGCGAGAUACUCUCAAUAUUUCUUAUGACUAGAAUAUAUCCUAUUUAUGAGACUUCCAUUCACCAUAAAAGUCUUAAAUAUUCAAAUCAAUAACUGCAAGAACUGACGAUAUGCAGGAAUCAAUAAUGAUUAAUCACCUGAACUCUAUGGGAGUGAUAGAACUGUCGUUUCUGCAGGAGUGCCCGGCUGUAAAAAGAAAAAUUUCGAAAAAAUUAGCAUCCCAACAAUCGAAAUGCUUCAGGAAAAGCAGAAUCUCACUAUAAUUUUUACAUUCACGCAGGACAGAGAAGAUACUCCUACUACAAAAAUACAUACAACGAGCAGCUAAAUUACUUGUAAAAGCUAUAUGUGAUUCAAAUAUGAAUGGUAUGCAGGAAAAACAAAUAUCUGUAGAGUAGAAAAAUAUAGAAAGAAAAAGAAAGAUAAUGGGGUGACAUAGCAUCAUUUACAGGGAGAACCUAUGAAUGGAAACAAAUAUAUAGUCAUAGAUCAACAAUUAUAUUGUUGGGAUUAAGGCUUAGUUGUUGAAAUAAUUGGGGAACUUUUGAACAUACUUUUUAGGGUCAGACCGUUCCAUAGUUAACUUUCUUGCUUUCGCAAUAUGGGUCCCAGCAGGCAGUGGAGGAUCACUUCCAGAUUGUGAUUUAACGCACUCAGAUUCCACAGAAGAUUGAGCCUUGGGGAUUGAGACAUCUUGGAUAUUACAACUUGAUGCAACACGUUCCAUCAACUCCGUUGCACUAGGAUACUCAGUACCAUUGUUUUCUGCCCCAUUUCUGGAGUUGUGUAAAUCCUUCUCGCAGGAAGAUGACUUGGAAGCAUUCUCUCCUACACAAGAUAGAAUAUCUAAAACCUCAAUACGAGAUAUAACAUCUAAAAUAUGAAUUCAAAUUGCAGAUCUCCCUCGAGAAAGCAUAUAAUGAAAAGAACCAAAGAUUGGCACUUAUAUCCACGAACCUUUAGCAGAUGAGCAACACAUUUUAAAAGAAAAGGAAAUAACAAGUCAUAAGAAUGAACUAAACUUGUGCAACAAUAAAACAAGGACAACGUUUAAUUACUUAAGGUGCACACAUUUCUUUCCCUCCAGUGACUCACAUAACACAACAAAAAAAAGGCACAAUUUCCAAAGAACUUUGGCAUCUUUCCAGCCACUAAGACUCUAUUUUAGACCAAUAAAAGUUCCUAAAGGCUUUGAACACACCCAAUGCUCCUUAAAAAAAAAAAAAUGCUAACUGGGUGAAUUUGUAAAUUGUUCCUUCCUCCUUACAAUGAAUGUAGAACAAAAGUGAGUCUCACCAUGCUUACAACACAUCAAUAACGAGUUAAGGCCUUAUUGGGCUUUUUUUAUGCAAUAAAUCAUUAAUAUGAACCUUUUGGAGAAUAAAAUACCAAAUAAAAACCCUAACCUUGGGCAACAAUUUAUCUUCCAAGAUUUUAUUUGAGGACAAGAACGAAUGGUCCUGAAAGGGACAAAUGAGAUGGCACAGAAGGAUUUACAAGAAAAUGAAUUUAAUGUUUCUUUGUACUCUUACUAGUUUCCUAUUCCUUGGUUGAAAGAUUUGAAGAUUAAUAUUAGUAACAACAUGGGAACCAGAAAAUAAAAUUACCAUCAUCCUUCCUUAAAAAUCCAUUGCUUGUGCCUUCCAUGUGCAGAUUUGGAGAAUCCAACUCCAAGAACUGUACACAAACUUUCUUUUCUAGACAACGGUUUCUUGAUUUGCGUCUUCGCGAACUUGAGCUGUACAUAAAGUUUAUAUAAGCUUUGAAUUCUCAUUUCAUACUAACUUUACAGAAAAAACAUAUUAACUGUACGUGCAGAUCUGAAAUCUACCAGAAGAAGAAUGUCUCUUGUCUUUGCUCUACUCCAUCUGCAACAGUCUGCACAUAUUGACGAGAAAAAAAAAAUGUUAUAGAAAUUUUGACUUGUGCUGCUCCCAACCAAAAGGCCCCUAUACAAUUCUCAUUACAGAAGACAAAUGAUUGUGAGAAGAAUUAGAUAACUGUGGCCCAAACAUAUUAGAUAGAUGGAAAGAAAAAACAAUUUCAAGAGGGUAGCAGAAGAAAGUUACAAAUCUAAUAAAAAUUAAGGUAAAGAAUCUUUUAAAAGGUGGAGAUACUGAGGAGAUAAAUUCUUCAUGCUCUUUUCUCAUCUGCAGAGAUAAGGGAGUUAUUACUGGGCCAUAAUUUGAUGGUUCUCUAGGAAGUAAAAAAGCUCUUCUUUGCAAGGGCAAAUUAGUUACCAGUAGUAUUAUUAGAAUCUCACGAUCCAUGAUUUGAAUCAUACGGUUCAAUUCAGUUUUCACACUAAACGAUUCAAAUCUUGUGGGUGAAUCGAAAUUGAGCAUGACUCUUAUGGUUCAUGCAAUUCAAAUCUUAUGAUUCAAGUCGAUUCUCUUGCCUAAUAAAACAAGUGUAAAAGUCAACUUAGAGAAAGAAGAGCAAGAGAAUAUAGUUAUAUUAGAAGAGAAAAACGACAAAGGACUUAAUUUGGAAAUGAUAAUGAAUGAAUAUGGAUUUGGAUAGGAAAUUUAACGGCUUGAUAGUUUUACUUUGUUUUUGUUUUAAAAUUUUAACUUCAUAGUUUGAUAUUUUGGACUUGGCUUAAGUUCUAUUUCACAUUGUGUUUUGAACACGAUUUGAAAUUGAAAGUUAUAUAAACACGUUAUUUGUAAUUAAAUUUUUAGUAUCUUUUGAUAAAAUUAAUGGAAAUAUAUUCAUAAAUGUAUAUGUAUUUAUUUUUAAUUAAUUUUGGAAAGUUAUAUACUAAAUCUUACGAUUCAAGUCGAUUCUCAAUUCUACAAAUAAGAAUUUCAAUUCCUGAUUUGACAAUUAUGGUUAACAGAUACCUAAUUCAAUUUGUUUAGUUUUUAUGGAAAAUCUUAAAAAAAUAUCCAACUUUAAAGUUAAAAAUAAAAAAUCAUCCAUAAUUCAUCCAGGAUGAAUUCUGACCUCAGAUAAGAAUCUAUCCAUUUUCACAGAGACAUUCACUGCUUGGCACUCCUCACUCACCUACAAAAUAAAUGCUUCUUGAUCAAUACUUCCAGAAGCCGUCAGUGCAAAAAAAGUGAUUGAUUAUUAUUACCAACCCAAAACUCGAAGUUGAAUAGAUCAUGCGAAGAGCACAAAUGGUACCGCAGACCCUGGAGAUAGAAGUGAAAGUUUCAAUUUCUGUGUAAGUAAAUGAACGAAAAUUUAACAAAAUCAAGGUUUAUAUGCUUCUCAUGGGACUUUAAGCAAACUUCAGAGUCUCACAAGAAAAAACGAUAAAAUUCAAUUUAUAUAGCAUACAAAUUGUUUCCUAGAAAAUAUCUUGUUUUUGGGGAUUUUGUAUGAAUGUGUAAUAUAGGGUAGCCCAUCAACAAAACAAAAAGGAUAAGGGCAUAUCUUAAAUAGAACGUCACCUUAAAGCUCACACACAUCAUUGAGCAAAAUGGACAGGAGAAGUCUUCAGUUACUGCAAGUUGAGAAAAUACAUGCAAACAUUUUAUUAUUGACGUCUUCAUUGAUCAGUAGCCAAAUAAAACAUUUUCGAUAACCAAAUACUGGAUGAAAAAAUUCAUUCAUGUAAUAGAUAUCAAGUUCAAAAUCAUUUUCUGCCGUUUACUGACAGAAAUUCAAAUGGCUGAAAGUAAAAGAGAUAAUCCAUUUAAAUGCUGAAAGGAAGCCUGAAAUGUGUAAAAGAGGCCAGUAGUUUUAAAACACCUAGAACUUUGUCCAUGAGUCCUGAUUUUGAGUUUCAAAUUACUGAUCUCAUUGAUUUUCCAGACCUUACAUUAAUGGUCUAGACAACUCAGGCCAUAAUAUCACCAUCCAUUUGCCCUUUAAUAGAAUGUAAAUUGAAGCAGUAAAUACCAACAUCUAACCAAUAUUAACUUCUGAAGUUAAGUCUCAGAUUAUUUGCAUUGAGGCAUCAGGCAUUAGUAGCAUAGAUAUCACAACCUAUGAGAUCCACCAAUGAUGAGAAAGGGAGAGAGUCAAUUUGAGAGGCAAUAAUGAAAUUGUCAAGUAUCCAGUCCCAUUAGUAAUAUAUUCAAUUCAAGAACAUAUAUUGUUGCAAUACUAAACAUCAUUACUAUGAAGCUUAACUUAUAAAAAUACUACUUGGUAUUGAUAACUUAAGAAGCCAAGAUAGUAACUGCAACAUAUAAAAUUGACAUUCAUAAAGCAUCAAAAUGCCAAACUACUUACCUUCAGUCUUUUGUAGUUUGUUGUUGUAAUCCCUAUAGUUGAAAAUUACAAUUCCAGCUGCCAAUCUAGAAAUGCACAUGAGUCCAAAAAUAUUAACCAGACAAUAAAGCCAAGAACAAAAGCACAGAAUAAGGAAAGUUGAAAUGAAGAUCACAUAAAAAUGUGAAUGAAAGAUCCCACUGAAUUGAAUUGGGUCCAUGAAUCUAAGAAAUAGUGAGAAUUCUUGAUCUCUUUCAAUAUCUCUCUCAAUUCGAAAAUCUAGGGUUUGAAUUGAUGUCCUUUCAUUGAUUCCUCCUAAAUUGCAUUGAUUUAUCCUAAAGAUUUCAUUUCAAUUGGAAUUUGGUUAUUCACCAUGUACGAGGAUCCCCGCUAAGCAUCCAUGGCUGAAUGGUUAAAGCGCCCAACUCAUAAUUGCCGCUUUCGUAGGUUCAAUUCCUACUGGAUGCACGCCAAUGGGACCCUCCAAUAAGUCUAUUGGAAUUGGCUCUGUAUCAAUGGAAUCUCAUCAUCCAUACAUAACGAAUUGGUGUGGUAUAUUCAUAUCAUAACAUAUGAACAGUAAGAACUAGCAUUCUUAUUGAGACUAGAACUCAUAGGGAAGAAAAUAGAUUUAUGGAUGGAAUCAAAUAUGCAGUAUUUACAGACAAAAGUAUUCGGUUAUUGGGGAAAAAUCAAUAUACUUUUAAUGUCGAAUCAGGAUCAACUAGGACAGAAAUAAAGCAUUGGGUCGAGCUCUUCU
rnacentral:lncRNA from 1 species